rnacentral:rRNA from 2 species
GGCUCAGGACGAACGCUGGCGGCGUGCCUAAUACAUGCAAGUCGAACGAACUCUGGUAUUGAUUGGUGCUUGCAUCAUGAUUUACAUUUGAGUGAGUGGCGAACUGGUGAGUAACACGUGGGAAACCUGCCCAGAAGCGGGGGAUAACACCUGGAAACAGAUGCUAAUACCGCAUAACAACUUGGACCGCAUGGUCCGAGUUUGAAAGAUGGCUUCGGCUAUCACUUUUGGAUGGUCCCGCGGCGUAUUAGCUAGAUGGUGGGGUAACGGCUCACCAUGGCAAUGAUACGUAGCCGACCUGAGAGGGUAAUCGGCCACAUUGGGACUGAGACACGGCCCAAACUCCUACGGGAGGCAGCAGUAGGGAAUCUUCCACAAUGGACGAAAGUCUGAUGGAGCAACGCCGCGUGAGUGAAGAAGGGUUUCGGCUCGUAAAACUCUGUUGUUAAAGAAGAACAUAUCUGAGAGUAACUGUUCAGGUAUUGACGGUAUUUAACCAGAAAGCCACGGCUAACUACGUGCCAGCAGCCGCGGUAAUACGUAGGUGGCAAGCGUUGUCCGGAUUUAUUGGGCGUAAAGCGAGCGCAGGCGGUUUUUUAAGUCUGAUGUGAAAGCCUUCGGCUCAACCGAAGAAGUGCAUCGGAAACUGGGAAACUUGAGUGCAGAAGAGGACAGUGGAACUCCAUGUGUAGCGGUGAAAUGCGUAGAUAUAUGGAAGAACACCAGUGGCGAAGGCGGCUGUCUGGUCUGUAACUGACGCUGAGGCUCGAAAGUAUGGGUAGCAAACAGGAUUAGAUACCCUGGUAGUCCAUACCGUAAACGAUGAAUGCUAAGUGUUGGAGGGUUUCCGCCCUUCAGUGCUGCAGCUAACGCAUUAAGCAUUCCGCCUGGGGAGUACGGCCGCAAGGCUGAAACUCAAAGGAAUUGACGGGGGCCCGCACAAGCGGUGGAGCAUGUGGUUUAAUUCGAAGCUACGCGAAGAACCUUACCAGGUCUUGACAUACUAUGCAAAUCUAAGAGAUUAGACGUUCCCUUCGGGGACAUGGAUACAGGUGGUGCAUGGUUGUCGUCAGCUCGUGUCGUGAGAUGUUGGGUUAAGUCCCGCAACGAGCGCAACCCUUAUUAUCAGUUGCCAGCAUUAAGUUGGGCACUCUGGUGAGACUGCCGGUGACAAACCGGAGGAAGGUGGGGAUGACGUCAAAUCAUCAUGCCCCUUAUGACCUGGGCUACACACGUGCUACAAUGGAUGGUACAACGAGUUGCGAACUCGCGAGAGUAAGCUAAUCUCUUAAAGCCAUUCUCAGUUCGGAUUGUAGGCUGCAACUCGCCUACAUGAAGUCGGAAUCGCUAGUAAUCGCGGAUCAGCAUGCCGCGGUGGAAUACGU